UACGGGGGGGGGCAAGCGUUGUUCGGAAUUACUGGGCGUAAAGGGCGCGUAGGCGGUUGGAUAAGUCAGCUGUGAAAACCACGGGCUUAACUCGUGGCCUGCAGUUGAGACUGUCUGGCUUGAGUGUGGGAGAGGAGAGUGGAAUUCCUGGUGUAGCGGUGAAAUGCGUAGAUAUCGGGAGGAACACCAGUGGCGAAGGCGGCUCACUGGCCCGGUACUGACGCUGAGGUGCGAAAGCGUGGGGAGCAAACAGG
rnacentral:rRNA from 1 species